rnacentral:sRNA from 1 species
UUCAGUGAAAUAUUUCAAUCAAUGGUAUUGAUUGAUCUCUGAUGGAAAUUUAGUUCUGUUAGUUCAGUUUCCUGUUUCACUUUCUAGAAUACAAAUGUAUUUGUGUGUGUGUGUGUGUGUGUGUGUGUGUGUGUAGAGAGAGAGAGAGAGAGACCGACUGAGACCUGAAA